AAAACGACUCUCGGCAACGGAUAUCUCGGCUCUCGCAUCGAUGAAGAACGUAGCGAAAUGCGAUACUUGGUGUGAAUUGCAGAAUCCCGUGAACCAUCGAGUUUUUGAACGCAAGUUGCGCCCAAAACCUUCGGGUCGAGGGCACGUCUGCCUGGGUGUCACGC
rnacentral:rRNA from 18 species